rnacentral:rRNA from 1 species
AAGCGGAGGAAAAGAAACUAACAAGGUUUCCCUUAGUAACGGCGAGUGAACAGGGAAGAGCUCAAAUUUGAAAUCUGGCGUGCUCAGUGCGUCCGAGUUGUAAUCUAUAGAGACGUUUUCCGUGCCGGACCGUGUCCAACUUCCUUGGAACAGGAUAUCAAAGAGGGUGACAAUCCCGUACUUGACACGACCCCCGGUGCUCUGUGAUACGUCCUCUACGAGUCGAGUUGUUUGGGAAUGCAGCUCAAAAUGGGUGGUGAGUUCCAUCUAAAGCUAAAUAUUGGCGAGAGACCGAUAGCGAACAAGUACCGUGAGGGAAAGAUGAAAAGCACUUUGGAAAGAGAGUUAAACAGUACGUGAAAUUGUUAAAAGGGAAACGAUUGAAGUCAGUCGUGUCCGGGAGGCUCAGCCGAUCUUCGGUGUAUUCCUCUCGGACGGGUCAACAUCAGUUUUGUCCGGCGGAUAAGGGUGGCGGGAAUGUAGCACCUUCUUGGUGUGUUAUAGCCCGUCAUCGCAUACGUUGGGUGAGACUGAGGAAUGCAGCUCGCCUUCAUUGGCCGGGGUUCGCCCACGUUCGAGCUUAGGAUGUUGAGGUAAUGGCUUUAACCGACCCCUCUU